AUCCAUAGAAAUUUAAAUAAGGUGGGAAGCAGAAUCUUGUGGAACAUCAAUCAAUAGUAAUGUCUACACGCAAAAUCAUAUGAUAUAUGAUGAACCAACCAAGAUUAUGCUAUCCCCUGAGAGCAGCAAAAUGAUCAUGGAUUAGAUGACUGAAGAACCAACCGAGAAUAUGCUAUCUCCUGAAAGCAGCAAAAUGAUUGCAAACCGUAAAGAAGUACAACUAGGAGAACGGAAAGAACAACUGACCAAACAACAUGCCCAACCUGCAUUUAGGAGGAACCAGAACCUUGUGGAAGAUCAAACAAUAGCAAUACAAACAAUACUUUUGCAUUAAACAGAAAAGGAUAUUGGUUAUUCUAAUCUCCUGAUACCUACUGACCUCCAUCUAACAAGAUCUGCAUUUGAGUGGCCUCAGAUUCGCCUUUGCAUGAUUAUACGAUCCUUCCCCCGGUGUCUCCAUCACCAGAUCAAUCUGUUCUUACCUUGGUGAAACUGCCCUGGUUAUCACUCGUAAGAAAUGACCAUCCAAGGACAGGGCCACUAAAAUAAGCACAUGAUCAAAAUACCCACAAGUGUCUCGAUUGCUUGAGAAUUUGAGAGAAUGCUUAUAUCAGCGAUGGUCAAUCAUCAUAGCCCCGACUCAGGAUUUUGUUUAUUUUGUUUCUUGAUUAUAGAGAAGGUUUGCUAUAACCAAGCUAAGAGCAACUCUAGCAGACUCACCAAAAUGAGAAGUCCAUUCAGUUCAGCAACCAUAAACUGAGCUUAAUCAUAAAGUCAUGCACCAUUCACAAACCAGAGUUAAUCUUUAUAGGUUGGUCACUACAUUUGCUAUAUCUGCUCAUCACAAAUUAACUGGUUUCUGAUAAGUGAUGAUGCAGUAAUCACUCUACAGCUACUAAUAUUUUUUACAUCUUUCACUCAAUUACAUGAUUCUAAACUUUACACUGCAGGUUUAGAAAAUUGGCGAAUAUCAAGCUUUGUGCCACGAAGCAUAUCUUUUAUCCUAUGUCAAACAAGGUUUAUCCCCUUGGUUCUCUACAUUACUCAAGAAAGGAAACAGUCUUUCCAUGGCUCGGCAUCUGAUAAUUCUUCAGUUGAACCGGUGCUCAGACCCGUUGCUUCCAACUCUGACAGCAUUGCUAAAGGCGAGUGCAUUAAUAAGGAGACUACUGUUCAAGAGAAAGCAAUGCCAGAUGAGCUUCAACAGUCUGAAUAUAAGUCGAGUAUCAUAUUUACCAAAUGUUUUUACAAAAAAAAUUUUAAAAGCCCAAAUAUAAUUUUGUUUAAACAAUUGGUAAAUAUGAUAAUCAGGUUCCAUUGCAAAAGCUCCUCUGACAUUGCUUCUCUUCAAUAAUAGCCACAUCAAUGAUCACAUGCCCUUAGUAAUGUUGUCGGAGUUGGAAACUACUGGUCUGAGGACCGAUUCAGCUGGAGAAUUAUCAAAGUCCAAGUUAUAACUGCCACGGGAAACGUUGUUUCCCUUCUUAAGGCAGAGAACCAAUGGAAUGAACCUUCAUUGACAUGGAAUAAAAUAUAUACAUUGUGACUCAAAACUUUAAUAUUUGCCAAUUUUCUAGAACUACAGCGUACAAUUUUAGAUUCAUGUAACGAAGCAAAAGAUGUAAGAAAUAUUAGUAUAUUAGAUAGAUAAAUUACCGCAUCAUUACUUAUUAGAAAUCAAUCAGUUUGUAACGAAUGGAUAUAGCAAAGGUAGUUGACCAGACAAUAACAAUUCACCUUAGUGUUGUACAACUCCAUACAAAUCAUAUUUUUCAGGUCGCUGAAGCAACAUAUUAUGCAUCAGUCAUAUACUUGGCUGCAUGGUGAAUUUGAUCAAAAGAGAAGAAACAGGACUCACUCUUUAUGCAGGGGGCUCAUGAAGGAAUUGAAAUCCAGCUCUAAUUGAUACUCCACGAUCCGUGAAUUCUUACAUGUAGAUGCACCAAGCAAUGCUUGAAACCACUUGAGCUGGGUUACAGGAACUUCUAGAGCCUCUUCUCUCUUGUUGAUAGAAUCCUGUGAACCAAAGAGGACGGUGACUGAGGCAGUGACAAAGAUGAUAAAGAUGAUGAUGCAAACGGGGUUCCAAUAUUUGCUUAGCCAUAAUAUGAGUGUCAAAAACACUCAUAUUUAUGGGAUGGAGGGAGUACGUCUAAAUGGGCAAAGGCCGCCGCAGUUAUAAGCUAACCAGAAAGAGUGCAAGACAAAGCAAAGCAAAAUUAUAUAUGUAAAGAGAAAGCAGCGACAACACAUAAUUACCCCAAAGGCUUUGCUUAGCAAAAAAAAAGUUUAGAAGCUAGUAAAAACAUGUAUCCUUCAAAGUUCACCAACCUUUUGUCUGGUGCAUGAUCCAAAAAAAUUCAGUGGCAAACAGAGAAAAUUGGGAAAAUCUUCACAACUAACAAAAGAAAGCAAUAAGGAAAUAUCACCUUGAUGGCACAGAUUAACCCAGCCACUCUAUCAAAGCUGUCAAAUGUCAACACUUUGCUUAUGGUUACAAACAGCAACAUGCGACAUGCUACCUCAGUCACUCUUUACAUUAACAAUCCAGCACUAAAAAAAACAGUAGCAUCAUUAUUUUGUAGCACGCGAGAACAAAUAGCUGCAACUGGCAACUUGUAGGUAACAAAAAAACAUAGUAUGAAAACUAAUUAAAACAAGUCAUCCAACCAAUAAUUUUCUGAACGCAAGUCUUCCUAGUGUAACAAAGUGCAACUUGCUCAUAAAGAGAUUAUAUUAUACCAAGGAAAAAAAACUUAAGAGAAGAUAAACCAAAAGUAUCGCUGGAGAGUAGCAAAAUGAUCACAAACAAUAAAGAGUGAGUAGAACUAGGAGGGAAAGAUCAAAUGACCAAGCAACAGCCAAAAUAGUACCCAAAAAAUUAGGAGUAACCAGAAUCUUGCAGAACAUCAAGCAAUAGCAAUACAAACAAAAAAAAUUACAUCAACCAAAAAAGGAAAGGUAAUGUUUGGCAGACAGGAUCCGUAAGAAUUUGUGGUCAUCCAUAGAAACUUAAAUAAGGUGGAAGUGGAACCAGAAUCUUGCAGAGCAUCAAUCAAUAGUAAUGUCUACAUGCAAAAUCAUAUGAUAUAUGAUGAACCAAAAAAGAGUAUGCUAUCUCCUUCGAUGUGUUCUUAAAAUCCUGCGAAUUAAAAAUGCACGAAACACAAAUACAGAACGGCAACAACAUGGUACAAUGUGCUUGAGACCAGAUCUGCAUUUGAGUGGCCUCAGAUUUGUCAUUGCACGAUCAUACGACCCUUACCCCAGUGUGUCCAUCACCAGAUCAAUCUUUUCUUACAUUGGUGAAACUGCCCUGGUUAUCACUCAUAAGAAAUGACCAUCCAAGGACAAGGCCACUAAUAUAAGCACAUGAUCAAAAUACCCACAGGUGCCUUGAUUGCUCGAGAGCAUGCUUAUAUUGAGCCAUGGUCAAUCAUCAUCACCCUGACUCAAGAUUUUGUUUCUUGAUUAUUAGACCUGGUUGUUAUAACCAGCUAAGAGCAAGUCUACAAGACUCGCCAAAAUGGAAAGUCCAUUCAGCACAGCACAGUUCAGCAACCACAAACUGAGCUUAAUCAUAAAGCCAUGCACCAUUCACAAACCAGGGUUAAUCGUUAUAGGUUGGUCACUACGUUUACUAUAUCUGCUUGUCACAAAUUAAUUGGUUUCUCAUAAAUGAUCACUACAUACUAAUAUUUCUUACAUCUUUCACUCAAUUACAUGAUUCUAAACUUCUAUGUUGUAGGUUUAGAAAAUUGGCGAAUAUAAAGCUUUGUGCCACGAAGCAUAUCUUUUAUUCUAUGUCAAGCAAGGUUUAUCCCCUUGGUUCCCCACAUUACUUAAGAAAGUAAACAACCUUUCCAUGGCUCGGCGUCUAACAAUUCUUCAGCUGAACUGAAACUCAGACCAGUAGGUUCCAACUCUCACAGCAUUACUAAGGGCAAGUGCAUUAAUAAUGAGACUACACUUCAAGGGAAAGCAAUGCCAAAUGAGCUUCAACAGCAGUCUGAAUAUACACUCUCCUCGAAUAUACUGCUGCCGAAUAUACACUCUCCUCACAUAUACAUAAUCAGCUUCUCUUCAGACUGUUGCUAAAACUCCUCUGACAUUGCUUUCUCUUGAGUAAUAACCAGAUCACUAAUGCAGUUGCCCUUACUAAUGUUGUCGCAGUUGGAAGCUACUGGUCUGAGGACCGAUUCAACUAGAGAAUUAUCAAAGUCCAAGUUAUAACUGCCACUGGAAACGUUGUUUCCUUUCUUAAGGCAGAGAACCAAUGGAAUGAACCUUCAUUGACAUGGAAUAAAAUAUAUACUUUAUGAUUCAAAACUUUAAUAUUUGCCAAUUUCUAGAACUACUGCAUAGAAUUUUAGGAUCAUGUAACUAAGUGAAGGAUGUAAGAAAUAUUAGUAGAUGUAGAUAAAUUAACACGUCAUUAUUUAUUAGAAAUUAAUCAUUUUGUGACAGAUGGAUAUAGCAAACAUAGGUGACCACCCAAUAAAGAUUCACCCUAAUGUUGUACAGAUCCAUACAAAUCAUAUUUUUUAGAUCCCUGAAGCAACAAAUUAUGCAUCAGCCAUAUACUUGGCUGAAUGGGGAAUUUGAUCAAAAGAGAAGAAACAAAACUCACUUUUUAUCACUCUUUAUGCUGGGGCUCAUGAAGGAAUUUAAAUCCAGCUCUACCUGAUACUCCACGAUCCGUGAAUUCUUACAUAUAGAUGCACCAAGCAAUGCUUGAAACCACUUGAGCUGGGUUACAAGAACUUCUGGAGCCAGUUUUCUCUCUCGUUUAUAUAAUCCUGUGAACCAAAGAGGGCC
rnacentral:lncRNA from 1 species